AUCAAUUACUAUUUCCCUCUAACGUGGCUGUGUGCAACUUAGCAAAAUGCUGGUAUGUUUGUGUGGUCCUCUACCUAAGUAAAGCUUAAUGAAUAAGAGAACCAAAUAGAAGUGAGGAGGGGAAAGUUACACAGUUACCAGGUAUACUUAAAAGAGAAAAUGAAUAUGAAAAUAUUUAUUCCCUCUGGCAGGCAACAACAGAAUAUUCAUUAAAUUUAAAUUUCAUUUGUGUUGUUUCUUUGUGCCUUUUCCCUCAACUUUAGUCAUAAAAUAUUUUAUGAAAUUCAACUUGACUGUUAAAUGUUUUCCGUAACAAAGAUGUGUUGUGUUUUUUAGUGUAUUGCUCUAACAAUAUAAUUUAUUUGGUAACAGUGGGGGACAAUUAUGAACAUGAGAUUUGGAAAAAAUUAAAGUGUGUCUCCCAACAGAACAUUUUGUUGCUGAAUGUUCUAUUAACUAAUUAUUACAAAUGAGUGUCCUUCUAGACAUAUUUGUACAAAAGUCUUAACGUAUUACUCAUCUAGUAUUGUGUAAUGCAAAAAAAAAGUACUACUAAUUGCUUUUUUCUUUCAUUUGGUCAUUUAAAACAUGUUUUAAACCAGAAAAGAAUAAUCAAGUUACUUCAGCUCUGGUAUCAAGCAAACUGUGAGUAAACGUUUCUGUUUUUGCCCUAAGAAUUCAUCACAUGAAGAUGAUUAGUGACUAUAGAUCAAUCUUUGCACCAGUAACUAUAGAAGGAAGUUUAUUUUAUUUCUCCUAAGUCUGAUAAGGACAAAGUAAACCCAAUAAUACCUGCUAUAGGCUGGUAAGUUAUCUCUCAAAUAAUCUCAACCCAGAGUCAAGAUGUCACUAACAAAAAGAUCCAAACCAUGUAACCUGCACUGAAUAGAAUACAAAUGAACAGAGAUUUUAUAAGUAAACAUGUGGCAUUUACACAUCACUUUCCAAAUUAAUGUUGUUCCUGGAGACCACCUGAAUGAAAGUAGUAGAUCUCUUCUAUCACUAUUACACACUUUCAAACACUAACAAUAACAUUAAGAGUAUCUGUUAUAACUAUAGCUAAAUAAUUGGCCAUACUGAGUCUAAAUUUAAAUGCUAGAUUAAUUUGAUACGUAACCGAUUAAUUUAUAAUUCCUCAGAUGAUGUUUCGGCAUUUGCCACUCACAAGAUCAAUAUCUUCCCUCUUUUGAUCAGCCCAAUUUUGAACAUGGGUUUUCCUUAAAUAAAUCUUUAAAGAGAAAAACAAUGUAAGAAUACAUUCUGCUUUCCUGUCAAAAUACAAUCGACAGGGAAAUAAUUCCUUGCUGUAUUUUAAAAUUUCUCCCUACCCUUCCUUCUGCCUCAAAGAUUAAGAACAUUUGCUUUUCUUGUUUUCCUGAACCACUCUUUGAACAUCACCAGUCUCCCGGUAGGCUUCAGGAAGUUUGCUGAUCCUAUCAGCUCAGGAGCAGCUAAGUUCACAGGAAGGACAAUUCUGAAAGCUGGUGAAGACAUUGCCAUCAGACUCAUCUGCUUGUCAUGAAAUCGCAACAGCCACCCCAGCCUUCGGUAGCCACCACCCUGAUUAGUCAGCAGCCAUCAGCUGAUAUCAAGAGCACAUUAAAUGUUAACACUGCGACUUGCAAGGACCCCCAGCUGGUGGAUCCCUGAGGACAAGGACAGAAGUUCACCAUGCACGGCCACUCUGCUUCAGGAAGAUGGCCAUGUGCAAGCUAGGAAGAAGACAGAACUCACCAGGGACUGAAGUGGCCAGUACUUUGAUCUUGGACUUCAAGCCUCCAGAUCUGUGAGAAAUAAAUUUUUGUUGUUUAAGCAACCCAGUCUGUGGUGUUUUGUUGCAGCAGCCGAAGUGAACUAAGACAAUACCCUAUGAGCUAAUACCAUUUUAGCAGUGAAGAAACUGAGGCUCAGGGAGCUUAGCAACUUUCUCAAAGUUUCUGUGUGCUAAGCUGUUUCCCUGCCCCUUUCUGUCUGAGGGGAAAUUGAAAUAUAAAGCAACAACCUGUUGCAGAAAUAUUUGAGUAAACAAACUUCAGAAAGAGUGUUAGAACCCAAACUAGCUUUCAAGUAGAAAAAUCAAGGUAUUCCUGGGUGCUGUUAGUGUGAAAAUACAGGAAAUGUCAUUGGACCCAUAGGUGGGAAUUAUGGGCAGGUCUCAUAGAACAGGCACCUAGAAGGUAGUCGGUAAUCAAGAAAACAUUUCUUUCCACGAGGCUGCACGAUCCCCCUCAUCUCUGUGUGUCUCUCAUCCUUUAUCGGCCUGCUUCCCUCUUCACCUGAUUCCUCUGCUUGUUCUUUUGGGGUGCAGCCCUACAAGGAACACCAACCUACAUUCUGCUUGUCUCCACUGAUCUGCUCUGUCUUUGAGUAUUUCCAGUUCUAGAAAUUGGUAGAAAGCCAGCUCAUAUGAGUGAGACCGCAUGUACCACAGGCGGCUGGCCAGCUACUUCUCUGGUUCCUUGUCAAAACUGUUGCAUACAUGUAGCUCAAUCUAUGAUCAUCUCUGCACAAACAAACAAACAAACAAACAAACAAAACCCAGCCCUGCACCCUUUCUGUGAAUGGGAAGCAAUGUACAGAACAUAUUAAGCCAAGAGGUAGGUAAGGCAGAAAAUUGAAAGAUGAUAUCUGUUAUUGAUUUGGUAUGAGUUAAAGGUACAUGGUUCUGUUUUAGAUAUUUUAUAAUAAUAAAAAUGAAAAAAGAGAAAGGAAUUGCCCCACAAUUACGUUUUCAAAAUAUGUUUAUUUUUUCCCCUAAUUUUUCUUGAGGUUAUUUAGAUAUUUCUUGACAAAUCUUCAUGGUAACAUAUGUGAAAGCAGACAUGUUUAUUUUCUUUGAUUUGGUGGAAUGAAUUAUCAAAAUUCUGGUUUUUAACAUUGUUAAAACUUCUGAGUAAAAAAUUUCUAACAAAUGAAGUGUUAAUACCAAAAAAAGAGUGUUAGCUAUGAGUGGUAUGUAAAUAAGUUGUCAAAUAUCAUCAAUAAUAAUUCUGAUCACCAUUUUCUUGGGUUUAUUAUAAUAAGACAAAUGUUGCUCCCAAAGAAACUGCUGAUUCUGGGGCAGGGACAAGAGCUCACCAAGAAAUCCAGCUACCAAAAUAUUUUGCCUGGUCACCCGGCCACAGGGGCUGAUGGCCAAAUCACAGACUUGAAACCUAAUGGCUGUGAGUGCACAUCAACGUGUUCAUCUGUCUGGUAUUAUUAUGUAGUUUUUGGAAAGCCGUGAUCUCUACGUCAGAUUGUUUUUUGCAAAAUAAGAAAUAAUACUGGGGUCUUGCCUCAAAAAAAGCAGUGAAGAUCAGCUCAUAGAAAUGUUUGAAAUCUAGGUAGUACUGCAGAUUUGUGGACGCUAGAGAAUGACUGUAAGAAGUGAUCUUAGGCGGGAAAAGCCCACUGUUAGGUCUUGGCUCAUGCUCCGCGUUGCCAAUUCCCAGCCUUGCAAUUUUGGACAGGUUAUUUAAUCUGUAAGUGUGCUUCCAUUUCAUCACAUAUAAAACAGAAAUAUGAAAACCUGCCUUUGAGCAUUUUCAUGGGGAUUAAAUGAGAUAAGUUCUGUCUGGCACAUACCAAUGCACAAAUAAGCUUAGCAAAUGUUUUUGUUUUUUAACUAGAUGAAGAUAAGUCUCUCCAGUGGUAUAUUUUUCUUUAGGAAAAAAAUAUCAGUACAUGCUUUUAACAUAAACCUGAAUCUAACUUCUAUAUAAUAAUGGACAAGAUAAGACUCCAGAAAUAUUUUAGAAUUUUCUUAGAUGAGCUCUCAAUCUGUGUUAAAACAGGUAAAACCUUUUACUAUAGACUGAGAAGGAAGAGAAAGGAAAAAAAAUGGCCUAUUUAAACAAUGAGGAAUAUAUAUAUAUAUAUUUGUCAGUAUCUUAAAGAGGCUUUUCUUAUACAAACAGGAGUAUUUGCUGGUCAGUGCCCAGAUUUUUUUUUCUUUUGAUGUACAUUAAAAAAAUUAAAAGAAAUAUUCUUAGAAAGACAUCUGUGCCUGGGGUGACUCACAUUUGAUCAAUCCCUGUGAACUGAGCUUUUCAGGGGAUGUGCAAUUAUUUGCUCAGUUAGGCUUAAACUUUUUAUUUAUCUAAUCACCCCUCUGUAAUGCUUUGAUCUGAACUUCCAAGGCCUAUUUUUCAACCACUUUAGCUACAUAUUUUAAGUCUUAUAGUCUAAUCAACCCUAGCCCAUAAAACAUGCAAUGUCCUGUUUAAUGCCUCCUAUUAGGAAAUCAGCUGCCACAUGGAUUUUGUAAUCUCCCACUUUGUGACUGGGUGAGCUGUUUGGAAGUGUCAUUAAUGUCAUUAUUCCAGGAGAGCGAGAGAGAGCCAGCAGCCAAGUGCAUCCCCUGUAUCCCAGCUGGCUUCUCCUUGCUAACGUUUGCCGAGUGACUCAGAGGUGAAUCAUCGGUUUCUGCAGGUGUAAGCUUGGGAGUCCUGGAAGUCUUCCACAUCCCAGUGGGGGCAAAUGUUUACCUCAUUAAUUCAUGGGAUUACUCAGUAGUUCCAGCCAACUUAAUUUGACUGUAUAAUAGUUAAAAAUAUGUGUGUGUAUGUGUGUGUGUGUGUGUGCAUAUUUACUUAUAGCCCAGGAGUGUGCUACAGCUUAGAAAUUUAAAGGUAAAACCUGUCAUUGAAUAAUUAGAAAAUGUUGUGUUUAUUUGAAACAUUUAGAAAAAAAAAUUCUAUGUAUGUCAUUUUACUGUAACAUAUACACUUGGUAAUGAUAUUUCUCACUUUUCUCUCUGUGCUUGGAUAUAUGUGAGGGACUGAGGUCCAUAACAGUUGGUGAAUUAGCCCACUCUAAUUCCUUUCCCAGCCUUGGGGCUUAUUUAGUUGAAUGUUGUCAGAAACCUUAGCCUUCAGAGACUUUUUUCUUUUCAAAGGACACUCAAUUUUUGGUUGUAAAAACAAAAAAGUAAAUAUAAAUAUAUUUCUUCACUUUAUUCAUCUCUGAACAAAUCUUGCUUUUACAUCUUAGUAGUGCCUAAUGAAGAUAACAACCAUCAACUAAAUUAGUAAGAUUUAAGAAUAUAAAAAUAUAGUUACAGCGCCAAUUUGCUGAAAAUUAAUGGUCAUUAAUCAAGACCUAUGAUGCAAUAGCUAAUAAUUGAUUUCCUCCUAUGUUCUAGCACAAUGUAAAAUGCUUUACAAAUACUAAUUUAUUUAAUUAUUAGAACACCCUACAACAUUGGUACUCUUAUUGUCUGCAUUUUACAGAUGAGAAACUCCAGGCAGAGAGAGGUUAGCCAGCUUGCCUAAGGUCACACACAGAUAAUACAUGAUGAAGCCGGCAUUUAAAUCCAGACAGUCUGACCUUAGAACCUGAAUUAUAAAACACUAUGUUAUUAUGGUCUAAUGACAAAUUUUUAAAAAACACAGAAGAAUCUAUGCAUGUAAAUGAAUCCAGUCCAUCUUAAAGUAGCCACCUAUGUAUGCUCUAUACUUAUUUCAAAUUUUGCUGUGGCUUAACACUUCCAGAACUCUCUCUUUUCUUUCAUUUCUAAAAAAAUUCUUGUGGAAACUAUGCCUUGUUGGUCUAAAUAUCACCAGUAAAAGCUUCACUCUUUGAAGUUGAAUUUGAUUUUGGAAAUAGUUGAAAGUGAUUCAAAACUCAGGUUGGUGAAGAGAGGAGGAAUCAAGUUUGGUAAGAUCACUAUAAGUUAAACUGUCUCUAAAUAUAAUUUUCAAGCAGGGAUUCUAGAAUUCCAAAAAUAUUUUGUGUAAUGGUAGCAUCAUUAAAAUAAAUGGAAAGCCUGCAAAGGUCAUUCUGAAGAGCGUUAGAAAGACAGAGAACAGUAGCAUAGAAGUUUCUGCUACAGUGAUUCAUCCUCUAAACAUAUGAAACCAUCCUAUUAGGUCACAAUUCAAUAGAUGCUAUUUGACUACCUGACCUGUUAGAAGCCCCUUUCAAUUCUUCUGUAUCCAAAUUUAUAUAGGGGACAUUAUCGGUCAAGACCCUGGUGAGAGAGUGACACAAAAUGGGUAAUUGAGGAGAGUUAAAUAAAGAAACAGUUUACAGGGUUAUAAGCAGGAUUUGUGGAAACCAAUAACAGAAAGUGCAAAUCCCUGGAUAGGCAGCAUGGAGGCACCAUCAUGCCCCUCAGCCUGAAGGGGCGCAAGGAGAGGAGCAGGGGCAAGAACCAGGGAGGGCUGCUGCUGUGAACAGGGCUGCAUGCAAGGGCCUGCAUUGGGGGAGGCAGCCAGCCCAUGUCAACCAAACGUAGGGGGGAGUCAGCUCAGAGCAAAUACCCCAUCUCACUCUCCUCCUGCCCUCUGAACUCCUGCUACUGCCCCACAGACCAAACCCAACCAGAACACACAGCAAAGAGCCAGCCUGUUGUCACAUGCCACAGAGAUUACCUUUUGGGAGCACACAGUGGGGUCAAGCCUGCCUUCUCUCUGGUUCUCACCUUUCCUAGAGGAGAGGAACUGACGCAUGGUAAAGACAUUUCAUAUACAAAUUUCAGUUACCCAACUGGCCUAGGAAAGGGAGGAGAGGAAGAAUCUGACAUUUAUUGACAGUUUUUACAUUUAGUGAGUACUUACUAUGUACCCAAUGUGCCAGGUGUUUUACUUAUGUUAAAAAUGAAGAUGCAUUAUGUGAAGAGAAUUUCACUUUACUUCUGUGGUUUCCCUCCCCUCACAAUUACAUUCUAAUUAUGAGAAAACAUCAGAUAAACCUUAUCUCUAUUGAGGGGCAUUCAAUAAAAUAUCUGAGCAGUAUUCCUCAAAACUGUUAAGGUCUUCAAAAAUAAAGAAUUCCGAGAAACUAUCACAACCAAUGGGAGCCUCAGGAGACAUGACCAACAAAUAUAAUAUGGUAUCCCUGAUGGGAUCCUGGAAAAGAAAACAGACAUUCGGUAAAAACUAUGGAAAUCUGGGCCGGGCGUGGUGGCUUACACCUGUAAUCCCAGCACUUUGGGGGGCCGAGGCAGGUGGAUCACCUGAGGUUUGGGAGUUCGAGGCCAGCCUGACCAACAUGGAGAAACCCCGUCUCUACUAAAAAUACAAAAUUAGCCUGGCGUGGUGGUGCAUGCCUGUAAUCCCAGCUACUCGGGAGGCUGGAGCAGAAGAAUCACUUGAACCGGGGAGGUGGGGGUUGUGGUGAGCCGAGAUCACACCAUUGCACUCUAGCCUGGGCAACAAGAGCGAACUCCAUCUCAAAAAGAAAAACAAAAAAACAAAACAAAACAAAAACUAUGGAAAUCUGAGUAAAGUGUGGGCUUUAGUUAAUAACAAUGUAUCAGUAUUGGUUGAUUAAUUGUGACAACUGUAUGUACUAAUGUAAGAUGUUAAUAAUGGUGUGGGGUGUAUGGAAACUCUCUUAUCUUUGCAAUAUUUCUGUAAAUCUAGAA
rnacentral:lncRNA from 1 species